CAGCUGCCCCCCAAAAAAAACUUGCUGUCAUGCGCACGCGCCGCGUUCCGUGUGGCUCGCUCGUUGAGACUGAAGAAGAGGCUGCGACUGAGACCCAGCGACUCCAUGCCUCACAGUUAACCAGGCCCUUGCCCUCUUUUUUUUUGUUUUUUACCGGAUUCUGGAGUUUUGUUGUGCUUGCGCUUUCUCUUUGGCUUUUGCAAGAGAGUUUUUCGGCCAGGGAUAAUUGUUAAGUGCAUAAUAAUUGGGGAAUAUUUAUUUAUGAAACUCACCCUCCUAAAUGUAGAUAUCAAUAAAAUAACUUUGCGUGUCAAUGAGAAUUUUCGGGCAAGGUCUGUGUUUUCUGUCCCGCGUCAGAAUUAUGCAGCUGCCACGCCCAGGAAAUAGAUUGAAGAAUUGCAGAUAUUAUCAAUCGAUUAUCCAGAAUCGGACAUUAUUUACCCAAGAUAUAGCCAUAAAGAAUAAAAAUAUAUAAAAUAAGAAUUAAAUAAAAUGUAAUAAACUUAAAUAAACAAUAUAUUAUACUCAUGUCUUUCUAGUUUUAAGGAAUAUAUAUAA